CCCCUUCGCCCAGUUAUUCCCCGCCCCCGACUGCCCGAACACAAAGUUAUCCGGCCUGAAGAUCUGGCCAUACGGCCCCGUCCUCACGCUAUCCAUCGUCCCGGGCUCCAGAUCCAUCAACACCGCACGGGGGACAAACCGCCCGCACGAUGCCUCGUUGUAGUAGACGUUCACCCGCUCCAACUGCACGUCGGCGGUGCCGACGUACUUCCCAGUCGGAUCGAUGCCGUGCUCGGCGCACACCACCUCCCAGAACUUGGAUCCG
rnacentral:misc_RNA from 1 species